rnacentral:rRNA from 1 species
CCUACGGGGAGCAGCAGUGGGGAAUAUUGCACAAUGGGGGAAACCCUGAUGCAGCGACGCCGCGUGAGUGAAGAAGUAAUUCGUUAUGUAAAGCUCUAUCAGCAGGGAAGAAAAUGACGGUACCUGAGUAAGAAGCCCCGGCUAACUACGUGCCAGCAGCCGCGGUAAUAAGUAGGGGGCAAGCGUUAUCCGGAUUUACUGGGUGUAAAGGGAGCGUAGACGGCAGUGCAAGUCUGGAGUGAAAGGCGGGGGCUCAACCCCCGGACUGCUCUGGAAACUGUACGGCUGGAGUGCAGGAGAGGUAAGUGGAAUUCCUAGUGUAGCGGUGAAAUGCGUAGAUAUUAGGAGGAACACCAGUGGCGAAGGCGGCUUACUGGACUGUAACUGACGUUGAGGCUCGAAAGCGUGGGGAGCAAACAGGAUUAGAUACCCGAGUAGUC